rnacentral:lncRNA from 1 species
UUUAACAAACUUCUAACAAAAAACCCAGAUAUGUACACAAUGACUUUAGUUCACAAUGCAUUACAGUCAAUUAUCAAUAUCACCUUUCAAUCAUAUUUAUAAACAGUUACAUUGACUCAUUGCAUUACUAUGUCAAAAUAAUCUCUAAACAAUUCAACCAAUUUCAAACAAUCUCAAACUACUUCAAAACAGUUUCAAAUAAAUUUCAAGAGAGGUUUCAACACAACACAUUAGCUAGGUUGAUGCGAUAUAUCAAUAUAUCUUUGAUAAAUAUCGA